CAUUGACUAAGGACAAAUAUUUACAGGGAUUUAUUAGCCAAUAAAUUUAAGCAGACUCAAAAUUUCUGGUGUUCAAAGCUAAACGGCCAUUUGCAGGAAAAAGUUUAGCCUCAGUUAUCUGUGGCCACAGCUGGCCUCGCACUCCCAAUAGGCGAGAGAGGGUAUAUGGGCAACAACAUGAAGAUGACAGCACCAACACCCUCCUCCUGGCUCUGAUGCCACUGGAAGGCAGUGCGUCUUCUCCUCCCACUGUGCAACGAGUUUAAAGUUUCAUAGAAGUUAUACUGCUAGUGCAAGGAGAAAUACACAUUAAAUAA